rnacentral:rRNA from 1 species
GAUGAACGCUGGCGGCGUGCCUAAUACAUGCAAGUCGAGCGAACGGACGAGAAGCUUGCUUCUCUGAUGUUAGCGGCGGACGGGUGAGUAACACGUGGAUAACCUACCUAUAAGACUGGGAUAACUUCGGGAAACCGGAGCUAAUACCGGAUGAUAUUUUGAACCGCAUGGUUCAAAAGUGAAAGACGGUCUUGCUGUCACUUAUAGAUGGAUCCGCGCUGCAUUAGCUAGUUGGUAAGGUAACGGCUUACCAAGGCAACGAUGCAUAGCCGACCUGAGAGGGGGAUCGGCCACCCUGGAACUGAGACACGGCCCAGACCCCCACGGGAGGCAGCAGUAGGGAAUCUUCCGAAAGGGGCGAAAGCCUGACGGAGCAACGCCGGGUGGGUGAAGAAGGUUUUGGGAUCGUAAAACUCUUUUAUUAGGGAAGAACAUAUGUGUAAGUAACUGUGCACCUUUGGACGGUACCAAAGCAGAAAGCCCCGGCUAACUCCGG